rnacentral:misc_RNA from 1 species
GAUGAAGAACGUAGCGAAAUGCGAUAAGUAAUGUGAAUUGCAGAAUUCAGUGAAUCAUCGAAUCUUUGAACGCACAUUGCGCCCGCCAGUACUCUGGCGGGCAUGCCUGUUCGAGCGUCAUUUCAACCCUCGGGCCCCGCAUUCGUGCGGGCCCCGGCGUUGGGGACCGGCCUCCGCAUCGGACGACCGCCCCCGAAACCCAGUGGCGGUCCCGCCGCGGCCUUCUCUGCGUAGUAGCAUACACCUCGCACUGGAGAGCGGCGCGGCCACGCCGUAAAAGAAACGAACUUUCUGAAGGUUGACCUCGGAUCAGGUAGGAAUACCCGCUGAACUUAAGCAUAUCAAUAAGCGGAGGA